CGCGUAAAACGAUCCAAAUACUUAUACGGCAUUAGGUCACCGUAGUUUUGUGAGCAGGAUUCGGGUGACGUCCGAACAAUUGCAUUUCACGACUGUCCCGUCGAUGGCGGGAAAAGUUUUUGUAAACUUUGACAACGGGAAACAUUAUAAUAUUAUUGUUAUGUGCUCGUGAGAUUCGGGAGGAACCAACGAGUGUUAUCCACUCGAAUCAACAAGUAUUUUCAAAUUCAAAACUUUUGAACCUAACUUCAUUUUCAUAUUUGCAUUUU